UUCCGGUUGAUCCCGCCGGACCCAACCGCUAUCGGGGUGGGGCUAAGCCAUGGGAGUCGUACGCCCCCGGGUCAAGGGGGCGUGGCGGACGGCUGAGUAACACGUGGCUAACCUACCCUCGGGACGGGGACAACCCCGGGAAACUGGGGACGAUCCCCGAUAGGGGAAGGGUGCUGGAACGCCCCUUCUCCGAAAGGGCCGCGGGCUACCGCUCGCGGUCGCCCGAGGAUGGGGCUGCGGCCCAUCAGGUAGUUGGCGGGGUAACGGCCCGCCAAGCCUAUAACGGGUAGGGGCCCUGAUAGGGGGAGCCCCCAGUUGGGCACUGAGACAAGGGCCCAGGCCCUACGGGGCGCACCAGGCGCGAAACGUCCCCAAUGCGCGAAAGCGUGAGGGCGCCACCCCGAGUGCCCCCGAAAGGGGGCUUUUCCCCGCUCUAAAAAGGCGGGGGAAUAAGCGGG
rnacentral:rRNA from 1 species